ensembl:snoRNA SNORD115 Small nucleolar RNA SNORD115
GGGUCAAUUUUGACAAACCAAUGUCAGGAAGAGAGGUGAUGACAUAAAAAUCAUGCUCAAUAGGAUUACGCAGAGGUCC